UACGGGGGGGGGCUAGCGUUGUUCGGAUUUAUUGGGCGUAAAGAGCUCGUAGGCGGCUCGGUAAGUGAGGUGUGAAAACUCCAGGCUCAACCUGGAGACGCCACCUCAUACUGCCGUGGCUAGAGUCCGGUAGGGGGAGCAUGGAAUUCCUGGUGUAGCGGUGAAAUGCGCAGAUAUCGGGAGGAACACCUAUGGCGAAGGCAGCUCGCUGGGACGUUACUGACGCUGAGACGCGAAAGCGUGGGGAGCAAACAGG
rnacentral:rRNA from 1 species